GUUAAAAAGCUCGUAGUUGGAUUUCGGAAUGGGCCAGUUGGUCCGCCUCACGGUGUGUUACUGGCUGGUCUGUUCUUCUUCGCAAAGACUGCGUGUGCUCUUUACCGAGUGUGCGUAGGAUUUACGACGUUUACUUUGAAAAAAUUAGAGUGUUCAAAGCAGGCCUACCGCUUGAAUACAUGAGCAUGGAAUAAUGGAAUAGGACUUUGGUCUUAUCUUGUUGGUUUCUAAGACCGAAGUAAUGAUUAAGAGGGACAGUUGGGGGCAUUCGUAUUUCGUUGUCAGAGGUGAAAUUCUUGGAUUUACGAAAGACGAACAACUGCGAAAGCAUUUGCCAAGAAUGUUUUCAUUAAUCAAGAACGAAAGUUAGAGGAUCGAAGACGAUCAGAUACCGUCCUAGUUCUAACCAUAAACGAUGUCAACUAGGGAUCAGUGGGCGUUACAUACGACCUCAUUGGCACCUUAAGGGAAACCAAAGUUUUUGGAUUCCGGGGGAAGUAUGGUUGCAAAGCUGAAACUUAAAGGAAU
rnacentral:rRNA from 1 species